UGUACUGCAAUUCAUGUGACCACAAGAGCAAACAUGGCGGAAGUAGACGCGACGAAGUCUCUGAGCGGCUUGUUAAAUGGAAUCGCGCAGAAAGUGUAUUACAACAACAGCGAGAUCACAGAGGAGCUGCUGAGAAGCGAACUCUACCCCGAGAUGUCGCCGGACGAGUUCACAGCUUUGCACGACAAAAUGAAAGGCCUUUUAAAGUCCAUCGCCACAGCAGACAUGGACCAUGCCCAGCUGGAGGCCUUCCUCACAGCUCAGACCAAGAAACAAGGUGGUGGUGGCUUGAGCGCUGAACAGGCCGCUGCGCUCUCUCGUUUCUGGAAAAGCCAACGAGUUCGAGUUAAGGAAAGCUUGGUGGCUCAUAGCCGCUGGGAGCCCAGCCUCAGGGGCCUUUCCUGGAGGGUGGAUCUCCAGACUGCAGCCAGCCGACGGGGAACAGCUCACAGCGGCCUAGUUGCCCUGGUUGAGCUCGAGCUUGGCAGAACAGGACAAGUCCCCAAGCUCAGAGAAAGCAGAUCAGCAGACCAGAGCGGCCCAUACUCUCAAUGUGCACAAUGCCACUGAACUACUGUUCAGCACUAUUAUUGCCCUAUUCAAGUCGAUUUAAAUGUAGCAAAUAAAAGCUCAAAGGCUGAAGAAGUAGGUGGAGGAGACUGGUAACUGGUAAAAUGAAUUGCUAAAGUGUCUUUCAAGUCUUGAAUCCCAGAAAAGGCCUAAUGGACUCAGAGUUUGUGUGUCUGGAGUUUGAUGAAACCAAAGUCAAUCAAGUGUUGAAGAAGAUGGCUGACAUUCAGGAGAGCAUCGACAGAAUUGUUCACAGUACCUGAAAGUACUUCCUGAAAGUUUAUCUCAAACAGCAGAGACAGAAAGAUAACUGUGACUAAGAGUCCAAUGUUGAGGCAUAGUUUUUCCACUUGCUCACAGAUUUACCAGAAAUGAAAGUGGUGUGUACGUGUACAGAUAUACACACCACUAUCCAUUCUAGUAGACAAUACUUGUGGUCAUCCUCUGAGAAUAAGUGGUCAUUAAAGAAGAACUAUUCCUCUCUUUGCAAUAUAGUUUCCAAAGCUUUGGGAUUCUGGGAUUAUGAGAAAUAAGAAAUGUGAUGAAUCUAAAGUGAAAAAAAGCAAUGUAUUACAAUAUAAUUGUAGAUAUUGUAAAACUAAAUAAAAAGUAUCUGUUAAAGGAUUUUUAUAUGUAUUCUGCUUUAUUGUAGUUAAAAAACCCCUAGUUGUUUAGCUUCAUUUAAAUCUCCUAUUUCACUGUGUUUCAUGACAAAGCUUGCAUGAGGGAAUACCACAGGUGCCUCCACCCUUGCUGAGAUAAGCUUGACUGGUUACUAUUUUUAACAGUUUGAGAAUGUUUCAUGCUUAUCACCUUGUAAGGAGUUGUUUUACACACAAGGGGCGCCGACCCGACAUAUUUUAGGAAGGAGCAGUGUAUAAAUACAGAGGGAACUGAUGUCUCAGUGUGAGUCUCCACUGAGAUCACCCAUGUAUAUACAUGUUUGAGUUGUGCCUUUCUUUGCUUGCUGAAACAAUUCUUUGACAUAAUUUUUGGUCCUCCGAGCCGGAGAGGAAAUAACAACUGUUUUGUUGUGACUCCAAAGCAGAGAUCUACACUGAUUCCCGACGCCGUGGGGAGCCCGCACUGAAGUCUGUCGACAGCCCUCUCUAGGUAGAGGUGAAAGCCCAAGAGCGUAAAAAAUUCGGAUCUUGGCCAGUGUUUUUAUCAGCGGUCCACGGCGGUGGGAUUCAGUGGAACGAUCUAACGAAACCGGCUGCAACGACGUUUCAGUAAGGUAAAGAAAUUCACUCGUAUACACUCGCGUAAAAAAAA